rnacentral:rRNA from 1 species
GUAUGGUAUUGGCUUACCGUGGCAGUGACGGUUAACGGGGGAUUAGGGUUCGAUUCCGGAGAGGGAGCCUGAGAAACGGCUACCACAUCUAAGGAAGGCAGCAGGCGCGCAAAUUACCCAAUUCUAACAGUUUGAGAGAGGUAGUAACAAGAAAUAACAAUACAAGGCAAUUAAAAUGCUUUGUAAUUGGAAUGAUAGAAAUUUAAACCCUUUUUAAAGUAUCAAUUGGAGGGCAAGUCUGGUGCCAGCAGCCGCGGUAAUUCCAGCUCCAAUAGCGUAUAUUAAAAUUGUUGCAGUUAAAAAGCUCGUAGUUGAAGUUCUGCUAAAAGUAACCGGUCUGCUUUUAAUAAAAGUGGUAUCUUGGUGUGUAUUUAGCAAUGAUGUCCUUUGAAGUGUUUUUUACUUUAUUGU